CUGGCUCAGGACGAACGCUGGCGGCGUGCCUAACACAUGCAAGUCGAGCGAGGAGAUCCUUCGGGAUGAUCCUAGCGGCGGACGGGUGAGUAACACGUGGGCAACCUGCCUCAUAGAGAGGAAUAGCCUUCCGAAAGGGAGAUUAAUACCUCAUAACAUUGCAGUUUCGCAUGGAACAGCAAUUAAAGGAGUAAUCCGCUAUGAGAUGGGCCCGCGGCGCAUUAGCUAGUUGGUGAGGUAACGGCUCACCAAGGCGACGAUGCGUAGCCGACCUGAGAGGGUGAUCGGCCACAUUGGGACUGAGACACGGCCCAGACUCCUACGGGAGGCAGCAGUGGGGAAUAUUGCACAAUGGGGGAAACCCUGAUGCAAGCAACGCCGCGUGAGUGAUGACGGCCUUCGGGUUGUAAAGCUCUGUCUUCAGGGACGAUAAUGACGGUACCUGAGGAGGAAGCCACGGCUAACUACGUGCCAGCCGCUGC
rnacentral:rRNA from 1 species